UCUUUCCCCACGCCACCAUCAGCAUCGAAGCUCCAGCCUCCGUCGCCCCACGCCACCCACCGCCGUCCGACCCUAUCCUCCGUUGCCCGCGCCAGAUCCGCCGUUCAGUGGGUGGUUGAAGUUUCUAAGUCGUAAUUUCGUUCUAUUCUUUUCGCCCAAGUUCCCAGCCUCCUUCCCCACGCCACCCAUCAGCGUCGAAGCCCCAGCCACCGUCGCCUCACAAGGUGCUAGGAAAACCAUCCUCACCGGCGCUAGGGCAGUGACUCCACGGCGGCGGCUCGAGUUCAGGCGCUAGGGCAUGGCGGCGGCGUAAGUUCAGGUGCUAAGGCACAGCGGCGAUGCGAUUUUAGGCGCCACUCCACGGCGGCUCUAUCGAUUAUAGGCGGCACCACUUCAGGCGACGAUUGAAUUUCGCACCUGCUGGUUUUGGGUUCCCGACGACCAACCAAACACGGCAUUGUUUCACUCGCUACAUUGAGUUCCACAGGUAUGAGUCUUAGAAUCAAUAUCCUUCACUAAUUCCUUGGAAGGAGUCAUAGUGAUACAUUAGAAAGGUAAACUAUGAUCCAUAUACACUGGCUUCGACUUUGGAUAGUAGAAUGGCCCUAAUUUGACAAAUUGAUAGGUUAGCCUUAGCCAAUACCAUAUUGCUGGUAUGUAGAAUUGUAUUUAAUAAAAUUGCUAUUGGUCUGACUAUAUUCUAGAUUAUUUGGCAGACUGAUUGAUUAUCAUUUUGAUAAGAAUUCCAAUUUCAUUAUGCGGUCAGUAUGAGCAGGUCAGUAUGAGCAGUUAGUACUAACAACCAUAUUCCUUGAAUUUAAUCUAUAUCGUUCUGGUAGUCAAAAUGCUUGGUGGUUGAAAUCCAAGGGGAGGAAGAAGAAAAUAGAUGAUGGUGAAGAUGCAGUGAAGGAGAGUGGAUACUGCAUCAGUUUAAGGUUUAUUGGCUGCUGUGUUACUUCAAGAUCUACAAUUGAUAGCUUUGUGAGUAGCAUCAGCACUCAUGGGAAUAAACCCAUCGCCUAUGUUUGAGUGUCAAAAAAGGUGGUUAGAAUUAUUAUUGGGUUUACGUGCAUAUCCUAUAAAGUAUUGCACUUGCAAAAUUCAAGAUUAUAAGGCACCUCAUUGUGAACAGGAUGAGGAUGUAAACCUUGAUGACGUUGAUGCUGAAUGUAUUCAGCAACAAUCAGAUAUUCAUAAUAGUAUUGUCAUGAAGCUGGUUAAGAAAGUUGCCCAUAGAGAAUCUACAGCUCCAGAUAGUAUUGCGAAAAGAUUUGAUCAAAAAAGUUAUACUUAUGUUUCAAUGUAAUAUAGGAUGAUGAUGAUUGAUACUAAUGGAUGUAGGAUGAUGAUGUUUGAUACUAAUGUAUAAAUUUUUAUUAUUAAUUUAUGUAUUUUUGGCUUUU